GAUGAACGCUGGCGGCGUGCCUAAUACAUGCAAGUCGAGCGAACAGACGAGGAGCUUGCUCCUCUGACGUUAGCGGCGGACGGGUGAGUAACACGUGGAUAACCUACCUAUAAGACUGGGAUAACUACGGGAACCCGGAGCUAAUACCGGAUAAUAUAUUGAACCGCAUGGUUCAAUAGUGAAAGACGGUUUUGCUGUCACUUAUAGAUGGAUCCGCGCCGCAUUAGCUAGUUGGUAAGGUAACGGCUUACCAAGGCAACGAGGCGUAGCCGACCUGAGAGGGUGAUCGGCCACACUGGAACUGAGACACGGUCCAGACUGCUACGGGAGGCAGCAGUAGGGAAUCUUCCGCAAUGGGCGAAAGCCUGACGGAGCAACGCCGCGUGAGUUAUGAAGGUCUUCGGAUCGUAAAACUCUGUUAUUAGGGAAGAACAAAUGUGUAAGUAACUAUGCACGUCUUGACGGUACCUAAGCAGAAAGCCACGGCUAACUACGUG
rnacentral:rRNA from 1 species